rnacentral:lncRNA from 1 species
GGCCGAUCUGCUGCCCCCCCACAUAUGUGGCCCCGAAGUGAUAGGCGGAGUCCCCGACGGUGCUCAGCGCCACUGUGUGGUUCACCUGGAAGUGGUUGCUGAGCCCUUUGUUCACCGUCAGCUUCACGCCCUCCAUCUGCACCGGGAACAGCUCUUUGCAGCGCCGAUGGCACUCCUCGAAGGUCCCCGGAUUGGGCAACGCCGCCGUCGCCCCCCCCUCCCCAUUGGGGGGUCCUCCUGUGGGGCUCAGCCCCCCAAG